UACAGAGGGGGCAAGCGUUGUUCGGAAUUACUGGGCGUAAAGGGCGCGUAGGCGGCCUGUUAAGUCGGACGUGAAAUCCCUCGGCUCAACCGGGGAACUGCGUCCGAUACUGGCGGGCUUGAAUUCGGGAGAGGGAUGUGGAAUUCCAGGUGUAGCGGUGAAAUGCGUAGAUAUCUGGAGGAACACCGGUGGCGAAGGCGGCAUCCUGGACCAAUACUGACGCUGAGGAGCGAAAGCCAGGGGAGCAAACGGG
rnacentral:rRNA from 1 species